AGUUUGGUGAGAGUUUUGAUUUUCCCAUCGAGUGGAGCUUGCCUCCCAUUGAGCUUUGUAAUUAUAAGCCUCCAUUAAAGGGUUACGAUGGGGCUAAGGAGCAAUUUAAGAUGAUGAAUAGGAAGUAUCUCCUCAUAGUUCCCCGGGAUAUCACCCUUCAUAAAAUCUUCGAGUACUGCCUGUUUAAUAAGGGCGCAAAUGGUUAUUUCGAGAGUAGUUUCCACAUUGGUUUCAUUAAUGGCGGGAAAUUUAAGCUAUGGGAUCAGUCGUGGCCUUUUGAUUUAGAGGAUAUAUAUAGUGGCCUUAAUCCUCCACAGGCUAAUGGAGGAACCUUUGCAAGACAUUGUAAAUUACAAGAAAUGUUUGGAUAAAAAAUGAAGGGUUCCAGAUGGCAUGCAUCGUUCCUUACCCCUUAUCCCCUCGAAGGUUGAGAAACCUCCUGUUGUUGUGAGGACCAACACAACCAUUGUUGUUGGUGCAGGAGGAGGAGGCCCCUUUAGAUGUCCCUCUGGUAAACAUGGUCAUUAGCUUCGAGAGUUCGUUAAACAACGGAUGGAGUGGCACAACAGGGUUGGAGGGUCGUCAUGAUGGGGCCUCCCAUUUUCCGUCAUACCUUUCCUUUAACCUUGUCAAUUUUUUUCUAAUUGCUGAUAUUGUGGCUUAUUUUUAUUGAUUUUGAUAAUGUUUUUCCUAUGUGCAGUUACUUCAACUCCAAUUACCUAAAUUCCUGCAACUAGACAGAUAGAUUCCAAAUCUUGGAUGUUGCCCUUGCUAGUGCGAUAGUCGCUCCUGCCAGGAAAAGACUAAGGAAGCAGUCUGAGAAGCCAUCCAAGAGGUAAAAGAAAUUUAUCAUAGUUAAGGGACAGGGCUAACCAAAGCCUUGAGGGUUGACCAUCUGGGAGCCUGCUGCUCCCUCAACAAGUGUUGUCUAAACUUCCACUAAUCAGCUCUAAGGGGGUCCUCUCGGGACCACGUCAUAGGCCCCCCUCUAGGGGUGAUUUUUUCCAAUGUUGGCUCAACUUAGGUCCUUCAAAUACAAGUACACCACCCACCCUUUUGGACCUUGUUACUAAAACUGAGUUCUCUGUCCUUGCUACACAGGACUCCAUCCUUGCGACUAGUCGGCAUAUGCAAACAAAUAUAGACUAUAUACUUAAUUAUUUUAAAGUCUUAAAGCAAGAAGCACUGAAGUUUAAUGAUACAUUGAAGAAGGUUAAAGAUGAGUUGACGGAGUGUUAGUGGGUGGUGGAUGAGCUUCCGAAGGCCAAACUCGAGGCGUAUACUUUAGCAGGCAGAGCUAAAGAUAAGGCCAAUCGCUUGCAAACUCAGGUGGGCUUCUUCGAAACUUCUAAUGACACCCUGAAGAAGGAAAAGGAGACAUUGAUUCUCUGUUGCGACCAACUGGUGGCUGAGCGUGAUAGAGUUCGUGCCUAGGUUGUUGAGUUAGUGGAAGCCCUCCAAAGGAAAGAGGAUAUCAAGGAGCCCUUGGAUGACCUAAAGAAGGAUAAGGCCCAGACAGAAGAAUAAGGGUAAUUCAAAUCCUUUUAAAAGGUUGGGUGAGUUAAAUUGAUAAAAAGUAUAAAUGCUGAAGGCUAAAUUUAAAAUUAUGAUGUUUUUGAAUUAAAUAAUUGUAAGAUUUGAAAACUAUUAGUAAAAUAUUUUAAAUUUUAUUUUAAAUAACA